CUCAAUGCGUAUUAAGACCGCAUGGCCAUUUUGUCAGUACUGAACAACGACUGCACCACCACGGACUGGGUGUGAACCUUCUCAGCUGUACGACGGGUCUAGGCCGCUGCAUUUCUGAUGAACUUAAUAAAUCAAUGUUUGUAUGAGAGAGAGAUUGGCUGUUGCGGCCAGCUUGGCCUUGACAUCCCCUUGUGGGAGUGUGCCGAGUUCCCUUAAUGGAAAGAUCAUCUUAACAAACAAGUUGGUUACAUUUUGUCAUAAACUUUGUGAUGAACUUUUAGCAAACCAACGUUUGUGUGAGAGAGAGAUUGGCUGUUGCGGCCAGCUUGGCCUUGACAUCCCCUUGUGGGAGUGUGCCGAGUUCCCUUGAUGGGAAGAUCAUCUUAACAAACAAACUGGUUAUAUUUGUUGUAACUCUGCGAGAACGUGUGCGGUUAGGCGUUAAUGUACCAACGGGUGAAAAGCUCACUUCUUUCGGCCGAGGAAUCCAGCAGAAAUAAGUGAGUGCCUGACUACAGACUAGAGGGACUGUGACGAGAGAGUGACGAGAGAGGGCAGUAUUGCGUUUUUUAUCUAUGGAUUGUGUGGUUUGUGUCUGUGGAUCUGGAUGAACAAAGCAAGUCACCAAUGGACCAAGGUAGGGGCAAAUUGCUGUAUCCGACCGACCACUGUUCAUUCUUGAAAACCCUUUAUAAGACUAUGCAGUUUGGCUAGUGUGUGGUCUCAAUUUUCCAAUAUCAUUAUCCAAUGUCGGACCACCAGCACCAAAGUUUGGGCUAAAAUGAGGUGCAAUUUUUUGUUUUCGAUCCCACUUAGGUAAACCACUGCACUCCACACUAUAAGUAGUUUUGAAAAGGAUAAUAUUGGAACGCCCGACCUGGUGAUAAGCACUUUCUUGCUAAAGCGAUUCCAUUUUUUUAUGAAAAGUUGAAAAAAAAAAAACAAUGAUUAUUUACCAUUAACAUUAACAAAAAUAUGCAGAAACUAUGCGAUUGAUUUUUCUUAAUGAAAAGUUAACAUUGUUUAGAAAAAAGACAAUGAUUGACAACAAUUAAAAAACAGGUGCAAAUACUGAUAAAAAUAUAAGGAGGUCGGAUACCCCAAGUUUGUCAAAAAUGGAGACAAGACAGAGAGAGCAACAAGAAGACGGCGAAAGGUAGAGGAAGAUCUAACCCGUUCUCUUGCAGAGUCCCUCCCCUUUGUAAUUCCAACUUCCCACUCCAAGAUGCUCUACAGACUUGUUGAUGUUGUCCCUAACAUGUUUAUCUUUCUUGGCGAUGUCACACUGUCACAGGCUUCUUCUUGAGGUGCAUAUUGGUCAAAGCCAAUGAUGCUUUUUUUAAUUAGAAGACUGGUCCAUCUGGAAAUUUCUUUUGGUGUUGUAACUUCGAGUCGCCAGUUGUCAUGUUUCUGUAAAAAUUGUCAUGAUUUUAUAAUUAAAGCGUAUUAAAAAUUGAAGGAAAUCAAUAAAAUAGAAAAGUGAAGUAACAAACAGAAGGUGUUUUAGUUGUGAAUUAUUUCCCCCAUUCACCAAGUCUAUUUAUCAUUGCUGCGACAAACAACGCGAGUAGGGAAACAGACAAAACAAAAAAGGUGUGCAAAAGAGAGGAAAACUUAUUCAAAAUAUCUGUAAUUUUAUGUAGUAAUUGAAUUGAAGGAAUUCAAUAAAAAAUAAAGUGAAGUAACAAAAAAACCUGUUUUAAUUGUGAAUUAUUUCCCCCGAUCACCGAGUCCAUUUAUUGGUGCUGCGAAAAAACAAUUUAUGCGAGUAGGGAAAGAAAACAAAGACAUAAAGGUAUGCAAAAAGAGGUAAACUAAUUCAAAAUAAUCUGUAAUUUUAUGUAGAAUUUGAAUUGAAGAAAAUCAAUAAAAUAAAAAGUAAAGUAACAAACAAAAUCUGUUUUAAUUGUGAAUUAUUUCCCCCGUUCACCGAGUCCAUUUAUUGGUGCUGCGAAAAACAAUUUAUGCGAGUAGGGAAAUAAAACAAAGACAAAAAGGUGUACAAAAAACAAGAGGAAAACAAUUUCAAAAUAGCUGUACUACUUAUGUAGCAAUUGAAGGAAAUCAAUAAAAUAAAAUUUAAAGUAACAAACAAAAUCUGUUUUAAUUGUGAAUUCUUUCCCCCAUUCACCAAGAACGAAAACGAGAAAGAUAAAAAUGCAAGCCCUCGAUUGGUUGGACGAGUGUGGGCGUACUGCGUGGAGCAUUUCAACCAAUCUAGGGCGUACAUUUUUAUCGUUCUCGUUUUCGUUCUUUAUCGGGGCCUGUGUGGCCGGGCCUUAUACGAUUUCGCUCCACAGCUUCUAACAUUUCCCUCCACAUGAUUUUAAUAUUUAUUUUUGUUUUCCCCCAGUUUGAUAUCUUCAAAUGAUGCGGUGUUUGCAGCAGAGGGGAUUUUCGGGACGCUUGGUGGCAGCAGACUUACCGGGAAAAAUCUAUUGUUCUCGGUAAUGUGCGCAUGCUCAGAAAUACGUGAACAAUGGCCAUUUACCUGGUAAGUCUGCUGCAACCUAGCGUGCCAAAGUCUCCUAUACGUAAAUUCCUGGUAAGAUUUAAAGAAAAAAUCCUUUGGUGGCAACUCUGAGACAUCGUAGAUGAUGACAGCUUGGUAAGGUUUCAGGGUAAACACAUAGACCUUAUCUCAAAUACUCAGUACGCACGUGCAUGCUGGUCUAGCUAGCGAUCAAGUUUGAUCGCUAGCUAGACCAGCAUGCACCUCAUUCAACAGUCAGCGCUUGCGCAAUGGGUAUUUGCGUAAAGGUCAAGCCUCUGGCUUGAUAUGACCGCAAUAACUAACCUCUUUAGAUAAUUUUCUUCCAAAUGCAGAUUGUUUUCUUCUAAAGAUGAGGACCUGGUCGAAGUACUUGCACCUUCAGCCACGAUGAUAUACCAGCAGAUGCAUGACUACGGAGACAGCACAUGAGUAGAAGACUUAUUCUAUCUUUUAUGUAUUUGAUGUGUGACCUGAGGUCAACCAGGUCAAUGAGGUCAGGUUUUAGCUGCAAAGGUUAAGUAACUGGUUUGUAAAAAGGUAAAGUACCAGGGGUGGAUUUCAGAAAGAGUUAGGUUAGGACUAUAGUCCUAUAGGAGAUAUUAGAAAUUUAGGGCUAGUCUUAAGUUAGGACUUUUCCUAACUCGAGAUAAGACUAGUCUUAACUCCUUGUGAAAUCCACCCCUGGUUAUUGUUAAAGGAGAGUCUAUUAACUCAGUUUCCCUAAAUCUGAUAUUGUUGGUCGUGAUUGUUCAUUGAUGACAGCUCUGAAACGCAAUCUAGACAGUUUGCUAAAAGGUUGCAAGGAAUGACGGCACCACUAAAUACUAACCCCCGGAAAAUUUUUCUGAAAAAGCAUCAGAAAUUUAUAUAGUUUGUUGAAUCUCUAAAAGGAAUCUCUUGCCUUUUUGCCUGUAACCAGCAGAGAUAUUUGUUUCUUCAUUUGACACUUCAAAGCAACAAGAUUAAAACAAUCAACCAACCAAGCGAACAUCUCAACAAUGAAGUUAAUUAUUGCUCGGUGCUUCUGAAGUUAAAAAUAAAUACCCCAGUCUUGAAAUAAUAUUCAUCUCGUUUUGCGAUUAUUGUUUUUUUUUUGCAGAGUAUUCGAAGUCGUCGGAUGCUUUUGUUGUUUUCCUCUGUUCGGCAGUUGUGCAGUGAGAACCACAGCCGGAGAUGCUGCAAUGUGCAUCGGUGAAUAGCGAGAGUAUAGUUCGUUUGAGACACUUUGCUGACGAUGACAAGCAACGCCUUUGAACUGUGCAACCGGGACGACUGCAUCAAGUCUAGCCAGAUGAAUCCCCACAAGGUCAACUAUUCAAAUGAGCUCAGCUGGACCAUGAUGGCGCCCUACUGCAGACUGUAUGAUGACACUCGAGAAGAAGACUAUCUUAUGGCCUUUUCCAAUCAUUGACUUGGGCUCAGGCACUGACUCUGUUUGGUGUUCGGAUCACCAGGCAAAAUUUACGCUGCUGCACAGGAGCCAGAGCCCAAGACGGGGUUUGGAAAAUGCCCUCAGUUUAUUGUUUACUCCGAUCCUACCCUGCAAAAAAGCUGGGGUGUUUACAUUGACACCAUUGACCUUAUCGCAAAUACCAAUGCGCAAGCGCAGACUGUUGAAUGAGGUGCAUUGUGGGAUAUAUAUGGAUCAA